UACGAAGGGGGCUAGCGUUGCUCGGAAUCACUGGGCGUAAAGCGCACGUAGGCGGCUUUUUAAGUCAGGGGUGAAAUCCUGGAGCUCAACUCCAGAACUGCCUUUGAUACUGGGAAGCUUGAGUCCGGGAGAGGUGAGUGGAACUCCGAGUGUAGAGGUGAAAUUCGUAGAUAUUCGGAGGAACACCAGUGGCGAAGGCGGCUCACUGGUCCAUUACUGACGCUGAGGUGCGAAAGCGUGGGGAGCAAACAGG
rnacentral:rRNA from 1 species